CCUACGGGUGGCAGCAGUGGGGAAUAUUGGACAAUGGGCGAAAGCCUGAUCCAGCCAUGCCGCGUGUGUGAAGAAGGCCUUCGGGUUGUAAAGCACUUUCAGUGGGGAAGAAAGCCUUGGGGCUAAUACCCCCGAGGAAGGACAUCACCAACAGAAGAAGCACCGGCUAAAUCCGUGCCAGCAGCCGCGGUAAUACGGAGGGUGCGAGCGUUAAUCGGAAUUACUGGGCGUAAAGCGCGCGUAGGCGGUCUGAUAAGCCGGUUGUGAAAGCCCCGGGCUCAACCUGGGAACGGCAUCCGGAACGGUCAGGCUAGAGUGCAGGAGAGGAAGGUAGAAUUCCCGGUGUAGCGGUGAAAUGCGUAGAGAUCGGGAGGAAUACCAGUGGCGAAGGCGGCCUUCUGGACUGACACUGACGCUGAGGUGCGAAAGCGUGGGUAGCAAACAGGAUUAGAUACCCUUGUAGUC
rnacentral:rRNA from 1 species